rnacentral:rRNA from 1 species
UACGAAGGGGGCUAGCGUUGUUCGGAAUUACUGGGCGUAAAGCGCACGUAGGCGGAUUGUUAAGUGAGGGGUGAAAUCCCAGGGCUCAACCCUGGAACUGCCUUUCAUACUGGCAAUCUAGAGUUCGAGAGAGGUGAGUGGAAUUCCGAGUGUAGAGGUGAAAUUCGUAGAUAUUCGGAGGAACACCAGUGGCGAAGGCGGCUCACUGGCUCGGUACUGACGCUGAGGUGCGAAAGCGUGGGGAGCAAACAGG